GUGCCAGCAGCCGCGGUAAUACGUAGGGUUCGAGCGUUAAUCGGAAUUAAGGGGCGUAAAGCGUGCGCAGGCGGUUUGUUAAGAUAGGCGUGAAAUCCCCGUGUUCACCCGUGGAACUGCGUUUAGGUCUGGCAGGCUAGAGUAUGGCAGAGGGGGGUGGAAUUCCACGUGUAGCAGUGAAAUGCGUAGAGAUGUGGAGGAACACCGAUGGCGAAGGCAGCCCCCUGGGCCAAUACUGACGCUCAUGCACGAAAGCGUGGGUAGCAAACAGGAUUAGAUACCCUGGUAGUCCACGCCGUAA
rnacentral:rRNA from 1 species